GAUAAUCAGCAGCCUUUCAGUAGUAUCCAUUUAUAAAUAGAAGAUCCUUGGAAUAGAGAGAUGUGAAUGCAGAUGUCUGACGUAAUAAAGCUCAAACUAAUCUCCAGUAUUUUAUUAAGAAAUCAUUAUACUGAACUGCUUCAGGUGAAAUCUUUCUCCAUUGAAGUUAGCAGCAAAAUUCCCUCUGACUUCAGACAGCAAGAAAUAAAACCUUUUCAAGACAGUUAUUAAGCUGCAGAACAGCUAAAAGCUUCAGGGUGGCACCAUCAUAUUACAAGAAGUGAAAGGAUAAAGCAAAGAAGAGCUGGUUGGCUGAGUUUCCCAUGCAACUCCAAGAAGAGUCAAGCCUCUUUUAGCUCACCAGAGACAAAGGCAUACAUGCAAAGUUUUUAAAAGAGCAUAGGCUGCAGUGAAAGCUGGAUGCUACCAGCACUAGGUACUUCUCUUCCUCUCUGUCUGAGUAAAACCCAGGUUAUG